GUGGGUGUGCCGGAGUGGUUAUCAGGCAUGACUAGAAAUCAUGUGGGCUUUGCCCCUGCAGGUUCAAAUCUUGUUGCUCACG
rnacentral:tRNA from 1 species